ensembl:lncRNA
AUGGCUGCAGUUGGAGCGCUGGUUGUGUUGAGUGUGUUGCUGAGUCAAGGUUCUUCAUUAGAUGGACCCAAAAACCUGAGAGCUGGUGACGAGCUGCAGGUUAAACGGGAAGGCCUGUUCCCAAGCGACUCUGCUCUGAAGAAGCUGUUUUCUGUCCUGGAGAAAGGGGCCAAAGUUCCAGUCCUCAAAGUAAAAAGGGAAACAAAUGUGACGCUUGUACAAUGUGGUAACUCUACUGCUGCUGCAUGCAGUGUGGUCAACAGAACUACAUAUGAUCAGAGCUCUGCAACAGCCCAGCUUGUAGGAUUGGAACCAGUUCAGGAAUCAUACAUGCGGCCCACCCGCCAUGGGCCCAUGACAUUCCCGACGGAGUCCCCCUACACCGGGCCCAUGACGUUCCCUACGGAGUCCCCCUACACCAGGCCCAUGACGUUCCCGACCGGGUUCCAAUACACCGGGCCCCAGACGUUCCCGACGCGGCACCCCGACACCCCCGAGUGGGAGACAUAGAUUUCACUCACUGGUCCAGUCAUGGGCUCAUUAUGGUUUGAAUAAAUAUUUGAUUUAAUUUGGUGUAAUUUUAUUGAUGUGAACUAUUUGUAGCGUCAACAACCAAUGCUGGGUCUUGAUCAUAUUGAAGUGACCCCGAGCGUCUCAGCGGCAGUCCUCAACCCAACCAGCAGGAGGAACUAAUGGUUCACAUCAAACCUUAGGCUUUUUCUUCGACCCUAUGUAACAUUACAGACACAGAACUUCUAUCACGCUCCUAUCACACAGAGUAACGGUGUCAGUUAACCAUUCUAAUUCAUCCCGCUCCACAGAACACGCAUCACCUUCCCUGUGGCUUACAUUAACAUAACACUGAAAUCAACACAUAGAAACUAGCAGAGGGAUAGGAAACACAUAUAACACAAUACCCAGAAUGCACCUGGCUUACAACCCCAGCCAGGUCAUUACAAUAUAAUGGUAAUGGAUAUUAAAUGAAUUAAGGCCCGUUUCUCAUAUUUCUAAAUGAUUGAAAAGAAGUUUCAUUACUGCCAUUUUGGAUGUUACACCCAGACAUUCAAAAAUGGGUGAAGAGGUAGUGCUUAAGGUGAGCGUAAUUUAACUAGCUCGAGGUAACACCUGAAACAAGACGGGACUUCCAAGGCAGUUGGACUGUGCAGCCACCUGGCCUCUGUUCAGAGCUGUAUUUGUGCUGGUCACUUGUGGAGCUCUAAUUUGGACUAACAAAUAGGUGCUGGGAGCCCUGGCUGCUUAUGAAGUUACACUCUGCUGCAGUGGCAGCUUUUCCCGGCCGACAGCUCGCUCUGCUGGGGAACCUUCUUUGACUGUGGUGGACCAGCGAAGCCCCCCAAAGCUUUGGUUUGCAAGCUUCAGUCAGCUUGCAUAGCUUGAGAUCAGUACCCAAUCAGCCAGCCAACACAUUUAAACCAGUUUAUGAUCAAGCAGUGUUAAAUGACCACUUUCCCCAUCCACCCAGCAAAAUAAGCAAAGACUUAUUCAUAGAUUUGUUAGUGCAAUCAGUUCCUCAGGUUAACAUCCAAACACACAAAGGACAAAACUUGAAGGUGCACUAUAAAAGAAUAUAGUGAGAAAAGAUGAAGAGCAAUCAAGUGUUUUUGGAAGGAGGGUUAUACUGAAACAUCCCAUCAAACGUUGUCACGUGGUGUCAAUGUCCAAAAAUGUUUAUGGUUGGAUGUCUUAAAUGUUAGAACAUGUAACAGGAAAUUCCCUAAUUCAUUCAGAUAUAUUUGUACAUGUCAACAGUUGCUUGUAUAAGAUUUUGACAUUUGGUCACAUGUUGUCCAGCAUACAGCUGCGGUACUCAGUAGGUGGUCCACGGGCCCCCUCUUUGUGGCCCCUGAACCACGAGCGAAGAGGAAAAAAAAAUUAUUACAAAAGAUUCCAUCAACACUUUUAUAGUCAAUGACCUGCAGUACCUCUCUGCAGCAACAGGGGGAGGUAGUACAUUAUAAAGGAUGCCUGAAGAAGAAUUCAGAUUAGAAGAAAGCAAAGCUAACAUGAUGAAAAGGUGAUGCUUCAGUCCACAGAGUAAUCAGAGUAACAAACCUCUCAGAGGGUGUGUGACGGCUUUAAAAUGAGGCUGAUGAUUACAAGUUCUACCAGUGGCCUCACACCUCCCCCGUUUUAUUUCAGAAUGAUUGGCUGACAGUAACUGUGAGCCAGCUCAUGAUUGGUUGACUGCUUCAGCUUCAGAUGGCGGUCUAACAGCUGAGAGGUCAAGGGUCAAUCUCAUCAGGGAUAAUGUUUAGGAUCACGUCCUCGUUUCCUCGCCACAGUUCGCAGCUUCUCGUCUUGCUUUAUGGCAGCGCUGACGUCGCUGGCAGAGGUGAUGGGCUCGCUAUUGAUGCUGAUGACGUCCUCUUCUUUCAGACCAGGGGUCUCAUUUAUUAAAGGGGGCUCUUGUUCUGUGUGUGUAAAAAGCGGUACAAGUGGUAAUGCUGCUGGAAUUCAUAAGUUUAUACUUCUCAGCAGCCAACACAUUCUCACACCCUUUCACACGUUUCACAUUUCAUCGUUCCUCAAACAAGCUUAACGGAAAAUGUAGACUGACUUACAGGGUUAAGGUUAGGAUGGGGGUGAGAGGAUGGUUAAAUUGCUAGAGGUUAGAGGUGAAAUGUCGGUGAAAUCUCCAUUUUACUGCGGGUGUUGGAAAAUGGCGCCCUGGCACAGCUCGUUGCCUCCCAACAUGCAGAGGUUCCCUACGCGUCAGAAACAAAUGCUUGGUCACACCGUGUCAUUUUUCAACACUAAGGGAUGCACAUUUUACACAUUUGGAGAGGUGGGCUGGAUGCUUUGCUUUUACUGGAAGAUGGUCCACUUAACGCACGGAUGUAGACUAAAUAAAAAUGACAAUGUGUUCCCCCGUCUUUUUUAUUAAUAAAAUAUGAAGUAAAAACUCACAAUU